AGAGUUUGAUCAUGGCUCAGAUUGAACGCUGGCGGAAUGCUUUACACAUGCAAGUCGAACGGCAGCACGGGGGCAACCCUGGUGGCGAGUGGCGAACGGGUGAGUAAUACAUCGGAACGUGCCCAGUCGUGGGGGAUAACUACGCGAAAGCGUAGCUAAUACCGCAUACGAUCUACGGAUGAAAGCGGGGGAUCGCGAGACCUCGCGCGAUUGGAGCGGCCGAUGGCAGAUUAGGUAGUUGGUGGGGUAAAGGCUCACCAAGCCUUCGAUCUGUAGCUGGUCUGAGAGGACGACCAGCCACACUGGGACUGAGACACGGCCCAGACUCCUACGGGAGGCAGCAGUGGGGAAUUUUGGGCAAUGGGCGCAAGCCUGAUCCAGCCAUUCCGCGUGCAGGAUGAAGGCCUUCGGGUUGUAAACUGCUUUUGUACGGAACGAAAAGGCUCUCUCUAAUACAGAGGGCUCAUGACGGUACCGUAAGAAUAAGCACCGGCUAACUACGUGCCAGCAGCCGCGGUAAUACGUAGGGUGCAAGCGUUAAUCGGAAUUACUGGGCGUAAAGCGUGCGCAGGCGGUGAUGUAAGACAGAUGUGAAAUCCCCGGGCUCAACCUGGGAACUGCAUUUGUGACUGCAUCGCUGGAGUGCGGCAGAGGGGGAUGGAAUUCCGCGUGUAGCAGUGAAAUGCGUAGAUAUGCGGAGGAACACCGAUGGCGAAGGGCAUCCCCUGGGCCUGCACUGACGCUCAUGCACGAAG
rnacentral:rRNA from 1 species